rnacentral:lncRNA from 1 species
GAAGAUAAACUUGGGUUUGUUUACAUCUGUCAUUUGAAGUCAGGAUUCGAACGAGAGCGGUCGGUUUGUUGAGUUUGUGUUGUUAAUUAUGAAGUAAGAGGAUGUGAAAGGUGGAAAUUACACUAUUUGGCUAAGUUGAAGUGGCAAAUCGAAGUGCACACUGCUGCAACUGUGAAGGUGGAAUUGGUGAGUAAGUUUGUUGAUGAUUUCUUUGCAGGUGAUAAACUAUGAAGAGCAAAACGAGGACAUUCGCAAUGGGGACCUCUGAUGCGAGGGGACUUUAUGAUAAUGUUUGGAGGAAAGAGAGGGGCAGUGGAAGGAAGAGGCGGGCCAACUCUUGCACGACAAUACUUGCACGGGCAAAUUUAACAAAACGUUGGUUAAUCUAAGAACCUUCAUGCUUACGAUGGAUAUUUCAGAAUCAUCAACCAUAAAAUACAUGGAAAUGCGUACACAUU